AAUUGAAUAAAUUUUGCCGUAGACAGUAGGUGGGCCCAGCCCUUAAUUUCCUACCGAGGUCAGAUGAUUAUAUAUUAUUAGUCUCUCCUUACGUUUACGGUGAGACUAUUUUUU
rnacentral:sRNA from 1 species